rnacentral:rRNA from 1 species
CUACGGGCGGCUGCAGUGAGGAAUAUUGCACAAUGGGGGGAACCCUGAUGCAGCAGCGCCGCGUGGAGGAUGACGCAUUUCGGUGUGUAAACUCCUUUUAUAUGUCAAGAAAAUGACGGUAGCAUAUGAAUAAGCACCGGCUAACUCCGUGCCAGCAGCCGCGGUAAUACGGAGGGUGCAAGCGUUACUCGGAAUCACUGGGCGUAAAGGACGCGUAGGCGGGUUGGAAAGUCAGGUGUGAAAUCCUACAGCUUAACUGUAGAACUGCACUUGAAACUUCUAAUCUAGAGUAUGGGAGGGGGAGAUGGAAUUAGUGGUGUAGGGGUAAAAUCCGUAGAUAUCACUAGGAAUACCUAAAGCGAAGGCGAUCUCCUGGAACAUUACUGACGCUAAGGCGUGAAAGCGUGGGGAGCAAACAGGAUUAGAUACCCCUGUAGUC